rnacentral:rRNA from 1 species
CCUACGGGUGGCUGCAGUGAGGAAUAUUGGUCAAUGGGCGCGAGCCUGAACCAGCCAAGUCGCGUGAGGGAAGACGGUCCUAUGGAUUGUAAACCUCUUUUGUCGGGGAGCAAACGACGCCACGCGUGGCGUUCCGAGAGUACCCGAAGAAAAAGCAUCGGCUAACUCCGUGCCAGCAGCCGCGGUAAUACGGAGGAUGCGAGCUGUAUCCGGAUUUAUUGGGUUUAAAGGGUGCGCAGGCGGACGGUAAAGUCAGCGGUAAAAUUGAGGGGCUCAACCUCUUCGAGCCGUUGAAACUGGGUGUCUGGGGUGAGUGAGAAGUAUGCGGAAGGCGGGGUGUAGCGGUGAAAUGCAUAGAUAUCACGCAGAACUCCGAGUGCGAAGGCAGCAUACCGGCGCCCAACUGACGCUGAAGCACGAAAGCGUGGGUAUCGAACAGGAGUAGAUACCCUAGUAGUC